GCCUAACACUCUCUCAACUGUGUCUUUCCUUAUCCACCCAACACUCCACCGCAACACUCCACCGUACGGACCGACCAGCUGCCGGACCGUGAGCUUUGAGCAUCGGCUUCCAGGUGGGAGGCGCAUCUAGAGACCACCAUGUCAAGUUCGAUCUGGAGGCACAUCCGGCCCCAGUGGAGCCUGGGGUUCUAGCAGCGGAGGGGCUGCGCGAAGCGUGGCAACGCGCAGUGGCUGGUGGUGGGGGCGGCAAGGGAAGCGAGGCGGGGACGCGAGGGGUCGGUGGACGUCUCCGCUGACUCAGUCGGCGGGAGCGGGAGGUGCGAGGCGCAGGGGAGCUUACUCUCCGGGCACGCAACGGUCGGCACCACGGCGGCCGCGACGGAGGUCAACGGCGGCAGGGGCGGGGACCUCGGGGCCGCGGCGAGGCGGCGCUGGGAUCUGCCGUCGGGGAAGUCCUUGGCGUGGUUGGACCCCGUGAACUUGCCGUCGGGGAAGUCCAGCUGUUGCAGUUUCUGUGGCGAGCCUCUACAGUUCGUUCUCCAGAGUCCAUCAGUCACACCCAGGAAGCCUCUCCAAUCGGACAAUACUUCUCACAGUCAAGAAGAGGACUCAUAUUCUGUCACUUUGGCUUCCUUUUCAAAUAUGGAUCAAGUUGAAUUCUCUAGUGGAUCUUAUUGGGGCACAAGCAGUGACUGUCUGAAGUCUAAUUCCUGGGUGUUCUUGAGCAGCCAAAUCUGGUGAAGCUGAUUGGCUAUUGCGUUGUGGAUUCAGAAGCAAGCACAGGGUGCUGGUUUAUGCAUUCAUGCCCAACAAGACUUUGGAUGAUCACCUAUUCAACUGAGCAUAUCCUCCCCUGCGCGAGGCCUGGAUUUCCACCAUGAAGGAGUACGAGAAGUUAAGUUUUAUUUCUAGACCAGAACUAUGCAUGAUCAGAAUCUCUGAACUGUACCGCGCUAAAAACGCAUUGCAGUCACGACACGUUGAAUACAUUCUCUGAAACUUUAAAAUGAAAAAAAAGCCGUGCACACAAACUUUCUCAGCUGAAUGUGCAUGCAAAUUUUUUAAAGAAUGCAGAGACUGUAAUUAGUGGUUAAGAUCUGAUCCAAACUUUUGGUGUGACAGGUCAUCUACAGGGAUUUCAAAGCGCCCAACGUUUUUCUGGACGCCAAAUUCAAGCCAAAACUGUAAUAAUGACUUGUUGGGAUUGACCAAACUUGCUGAGAAGUUGCAGUGCGUUACCUAUAUAUCAGUAGUAGGAGAAGCACAGUGGAAUGCACAAGUGGACCUGGUUCUUCACGCGGCGUUCACAGAUCUUUGUUGGCGUCUAACAUGGUUUCGCCGAAGGAGGUCGACGGUGAUGACGAAGCCGAUGUGAUGUCGUCGAUGCCUUGAAAUCCAAGCGCAGCAAUCGUUUUUCUUUUGGGUCGUUGAUGAUACUUCGGAUGAUCGGCCCUCAGAUCGGCGCGAAAGAUGGAGCUUGGCCACGGAGGAUCGACGAUGAACGCGGCGGCAGCCUAGCAGGUCUCCAAUCGGCGCAACAGACGCAGCUGGUCACGGAGGAUCGCACCUGGAUGCGGUGGCCGCGAAGGAUCAACGAUGGACGCGGCGGCCGCCCAACAGGUCUCCAACGUCGGCAGCCGGCGGCCCAGUGCGAUACGGCGGAGAGUGUUUUCUCCUCCACGGCCGGGAUCGGCAAUAAUGGAGGUUGCGGGUUUUUUUAUUCACGAAGGUUUUUUUUGUGAUACGGUGGAUUCACGGAGAGUCGUGAGGGCGAAGAGGCGGAGAGUUGAGAUGUGGAAGGUCUUGAUCAUAUUUUUAAUCUGGGCCGUCUAAUCUAUAGGACAUGUGCUGUGAGUCGUUGAUCUUGCAGGUAGGAUUUGCAUGGAGUAGAUUUUAAUUAUAGUAGAGAUAAAGAAGCCGAUCGGAGAAUUUCCGUACUACA